UGUAGUCUCAAUGAUGAUGCAUACAUGUCAACUAUGGGUGUUAGCUCCAACAAUUCGCAUUGGUCUCAAACCAAUGACAUGCAUUUCGAAGACCAUGAGUUUGAGGUGGACGAGGAGGGUGAGGGCAUUGUCAACGCGCCGAAAUGAAGAGCGGGCAGUUACACCAACGUCGAUGACAUCUUACUAUGCAAUACUUGGUUGCAAGUGUCGAGGGAUCCAUCCGUUGGAGGUGAUCAAAGUAGAGAUGCUUAUUGGGGGCGGAUGAAAGAACAUGUUCAUCAUACUUGUUGA
rnacentral:rRNA from 1 species